AUUGAACGCUGGCGGCAGGCCUAACACAUGCAAGUCGAGCGGAUGAAGGGAGCUUGCUCCUGGAUUCAGCGGCGGACGGGUGAGUAAUGCCUAGGAAUCUGCCUGGUAGUGGGGGAUAACGUCCGGAAACGGGCGCUAAUACCGCAUACGUCCUGAGGGAGAAAGUGGGGGAUCUUCGGACCUCACGCUAUCAGAUGAGCCUAGGUCGGAUUAGCUAGUUGGUGGGGUAAAGGCCUACCAAGGCGACGAUCCGUAACUGGUCUGAGAGGAUGAUCAGUCACACUGGAACUGAGACACGGUCCAGACUCCUACGGGAGGCAGCAGUGGGGAAUAUUGGACAAUGGGCGAAAGCCUGAUCCAGCCAUGCCGCGUGUGUGAAGAAGGUCUUCGGAUUGUAAAGCACUUUAAGUUGGGAGGAAGGGCAGUGAGUUAAUACCUCGCUGUUUUGACGUUACCAACAGAAUAAGCACCGGCUAACUUCGUG
rnacentral:rRNA from 1 species